rnacentral:rRNA from 1 species
GUGCCAGCAGCCGCGGUAAUACGGGGGGUGCAAGCGUUAUUCGGAAUCAUUGGGCGUAAAGGGCGCGUAGGCGGUUGCUUAAGUCAGGUGUGAAAGCCCUCGGCUUAACCGAGGAAGUGCAUCUGAUACUAAGCAACUUGAGUAUGGGAGAGGGAAGCGGAAUUCCUGGUGUAGCGGUGAAAUGCGUAGAUAUCAGGAGGAACACCGGUGGCGAAGGCGGCUUCCUGGACCAAUACUGACGCUGAGGCGCGAAGGCGUGGGGAGCAAACAGGAUUAGAAACCCCUGUAGUCC